rnacentral:rRNA from 1 species
GAUGAACGCUGGCGGCGUGCCUAAUACAUGCAAGUCGAGCGAACAGACGAGGAGCUUGCUCCUCUGACGUUAGCGGCGGACGGGUGAGUAACACGUGGAUAACCUACCUAUAAGACUGGGAUAACUUCGGGAAACCGGAGCUAAUACCGGAUAACAUGUUGAACCGCAUGGUUCAACAGUGAAAGACGGUUUUGCUGUCACUUAUAGAUGGAUCCGCGCCGCAUUAGCUAGUUGGUAAGGUAAAGGCUUACCAAGGCAACGAUGCGUAGCCGACCUGAGAGGGUGAUCGGCCACACUGGAACUGAGACACGGUCCAGACUCCUACGGGAGGCAGCAGUAGGGAAUCUUCCGCAAUGGGCGAAAGCCUGACGGAGCAACGCCGCGUGAGUGAAGAAGGUCUUCGGAUCGUAAAACUCUGUUAUUAGGGAAGAACAAAUGUGUAAGUAACUAUGCACGUCUUGACGGUACCUAAUCAGAAAGCCACGGCUAACUACGUG